UACGUAGGGGGCAAGCGUUGUCCGGAAUCAUUGGGCGUAAAGAGCGUGUAGGCGGCCAGAUAAGUCCGUUGUGAAAACUCGAGGCUCAACCUCGAGCUGUCGAUGGAAACCAUCUGGCUAGAGUCCGGAAGAGGAGAGUGGAAUUCCUGGUGUAGCGGUGAAAUGCGCAGAUAUCAGGAAGAACACCCGUGGCGAAGGCGGCUCUCUGGUACGUGACUGACGCUGAGACGCGAAAGCGUGGGGAGCGAACAGG
rnacentral:rRNA from 1 species